rnacentral:rRNA from 1 species
AGAGUUUGAUCAUGGCUCAGGAUGAACGCUGGCGGUCUGCUUAACACAUGCAAGUCGAACGGGAUCUUCGGAUCUAGUGGCGGACGGGUGAGUAACGCGUGAGAAUCUGCCUUUUGGACCGGGACAACAGUUGGAAACGACUGCUAACACCGGAUGUGCCUACGGGUGAAAUAUUAAUAGCCAGAAGAUGAGCUCGCGUCUGAUUAGCUAGUUGGAGUGGUAACGGCACACCAAGGCGACGAUCAGUAGCUGGUCUGAGAGGAUGAUCAGCCACACUGGGACUGAGACACGGCCCAGACUCCUACGGGAGGCAGCAGUGGGGAAUUUUCCGCAAUGGGCGCAAGCCUGACGGAGCAAGACCGCGUGGGGGACGAAGGUUUGUGGAUUGUAAACCCCUUUUGUCAGGGAAGAACACAAUGACGGUACCUGACGAAUCAGCCUCGGCUAACUCCGUGCCAGCCGCCGCGGUAAUUC